UUGAACUAUGGUGCUUAUACGUACAUUGAGUGACAUUGAUUUUUACAAGCACACAUAUUAAGAGUUAUGCCCCUUUUUGCUGAAACCUGUAUGUACUGCAUGUAGUGCUUGUCAGCACAACAUAUUUUUCUGAAACCUUCAGGAAGCUGUUAUAGUGGUAAGAUGAGAAAUUAAUAUUUCAUUUCGUCAAAGUCAGAUUAAUAAGGGGAGUUAUGCCCCUUGUUUGCUUCUAAUGAUUGUCAGCAAUAAUAUACAGUCCAGACUUUUCAUCAGAGUUUUCUGACACUUUGUAUUAUGAUAAAUUGAUUCCUAGUUAUUGUCCUCUAUAUCAGAUUAAUAUCUAUAGAGUUAUGCCCCUUGUUUGCUGAAAGCUGCCCACAAGGCUUGAAAUACUUGUCAGCAGGAUAUGUGGUGUGAAGUGUUCAGACCAUUACAGGAAGAUUCAGGACGAACUUUAUCAAUAUUUAGGAUUCCAUUUUUGGCACAAUUUUAUUCUCAAAUUACGAGACCCGACAGAGACAUAUUUAAACAUGCUGAUAAAUAUCAAUAUGUCAUAACUUAUUCAGGAUUCCAUUUUUGCACAAUUUUAUUCUCAAAUUACGAGACCUGGUAGAGCCAUAUUUGAGAAUUCUGAAUGUUGAUAAAUAUCAAUUCAUCAUACCCUUGUAAAUAUUAAAUUGAACUGAGUUAUUUUUAUACUGUUUUGACAAAAUGCAAAUGGCACAUCGGAACUGUACUAAUCCUAAUUGAUUUUACUUUCAGGCUUGGAUGUGUGGAGGUCUGUUGGAGAUUUUACCCUGUUCGAGAGUAGGUCACGUGUUCCGCAGCGUUCUACCACACAGCUUCCCUGAUGGGGGACGACAGACGGUUGCUAGAAAUCUACGACGUGUAGCAGAAGUAUGGAUGGAUGAUUACAAAAAUAUAUUUUAUUCUUCUUUGAAUAUAGAUGAAGUAGAAGUAGGUGAUAUACAAGAAAGACAGACUUUACGUACCAGAUUAAAAUGUAAAAGUUUUAAAUGGUAUUUACAGAAUGUUAUACCAGAGUUACCUGUCCCUGACCAAUCAGAUCUGGCAUUCGGAGAGUUUCGUCAUCAGUUGUCUUUACAGUGCCUUACUGUCCAAGCAAAUGGAAGAAUAAUUCUCUCAGCUUGUCAAGGACAGAAAAAUACUCAGGUUUUUAGUUUGACUUCUCAUGGCAACCUUCACCUAUAUAACAGUAGUGAUGACAACAAUAGUUGCAUCCGGACAGACGAUAAGAAAUUAUAUCUAGGUGCAUGUGGUCACCAUAUAUGGAAAUUACAGGGUCAGCAAAUUCAGCAAACGGGAAGUGAAUUAUGUCUUGGAAGUGAA